rnacentral:ncRNA from 1 species
CCCGUGACGCAGGGGUACUCAUCGCCGGUUCGGCGUGGGUUGAGAUGACACCCUCAGCACCUGUACGGAUAAUGCCGAUGCAGGGAGCGUUUUCCGGCGGAAC